AUGGCCUCCGACAUCCACGCGCCCACCGAGAUCCCCGCACCCAGCCACCUCGUCCGCGAGCUUCGCCGACGUCCACUCCUUCGACUACGUCCACCAGUUGGAGCCGGGAGCCCCUGGAUCGCAGGGAUCGACGUCGUCUUCAACCUCCAACCACCGCGACGCCAUCGACGAAUUCGUCGCCGUCGCUCCACCCCCGGCCUUCUCGAUCUCGCCUACGACACCGCGGUGAGUGUUCCCCCUCCGUUACUUCUUUUCGGUUGGCUCCGAGACCGUUGCCGAUACCCCUGUGAUCGACUACAUCGACGACGACCCCUUCUUCUUGCUAGAGCAACCAGAGCAAGACCCAGCUGUAUGUGUACGAGAGAUAUAUUUUAUUGA
rnacentral:rRNA from 1 species